ACCCGUAUUUGACUCAGAUUGUCCAGGUUCAACAUAAAGCGAUAGUCACUAGGACCUAGCUCGCUCUAUUCGGGCAGUUCCAAACAAAAAGAUUGGAUGGAUGUUUAAAGAAAGAAUGGAAGAACAGGAAAGUAGAUAGGCGAGAAAGAAAAUCCACCUGGGAACAAAGAAAAGAGACAGAAAAGUGGAGCAAGCACCAGAACCUUCGAAAAUCCCUUUGAAGAAUAGCACCGCAGAAGAUGAAGAAAAACCUCUUGUCCCAAGAGCUACAGUAAUGGACAAAGGAAAGAAGGAAUCAGAGCACUUGCCAUUGAAAAAGAUAGGCACUUCUCCUAUUUAUAGCCAAGAAAAGGUAAUGCCCAG
rnacentral:lncRNA from 1 species